UACGGGGAGGGCAAGCGUUGUUCGGAAUUACUGGGCGUAAAGGGCGCGUAGGCGGCCUUCUAAGUCGGACGUGAAAUCCCUCGGCUCAACCGAGGAACUGCGUCCGAUACUGAAAGGCUUGAAUCCGGGAGAGGGAUGUGGAAUUCCAGGUGUAGCGGUGAAAUGCGUAGAUAUCUGGAGGAACACCGGUGGCGAAGGCGGCAUCCUGGACCGGCAUUGACGCUGAUGAGCGAAAGCUAGGGGAGCAAACGGG
rnacentral:rRNA from 1 species